rnacentral:rRNA from 1 species
CCUACGGUGUGCAGCAGUGGGGGAUAUUGCACCAUGGGGGAAACCCUGAUGCGGCGACGCCGCGUGAGUGAAGCAGUAUUUGGGUAUGUAAAGCUCUAUCAGCAGGGAAGAACAUGACAGUACCUGACCAAGAAGCCCCGGCUAACUCCGUACCAGCAGCCGCGGUAAUACGUAGGGGGCAAGCGUUAUCCGGAUUUACUGGGUGUAAAGGGAGCGUAGACGGUUGUGUAUGUUUGGAGUGAAAGCCCGGGGCCCAACCCCGGGACUGCUUUGGAAACUGUGUAACUGGAGUACAGGAGGGGCAGGCGGAAUUCCUGGUGUAGCGGUGAAAUGCGUAGAUAUCAGGAGGAACACCGGCGGCGAAGGCGGCCUGCUGGACUGAAACUGACGUUGAGGCUCGAAAGCGUGGGGAGCAAACAGGAUUAGAUACCCGUGUAGUC